AAAGUGCUGACAUUUCGAGGAU
rnacentral:miRNA from 15 species